rnacentral:rRNA from 1 species
GACGAACGCUGGCGGCGUGCCUAAUACAUGCAAGUCGAACGCAGUGGGGACGGGUGAGUAACACGUGGGUAACCUCCCAUCAGAGGGGAUAACACUUGGAAACAGGUGCUAAACCGAUAUUGAUGGAUGGACCCGCGGUGCAUUAGCUAGUUGGUGGGGUACCGGCUCACCAAGGCCACGAUGCAUAGCCGACAUGUGAGGGGAAUCAGCCACACUGGGACGGUGACACGGCCCAGACGCAUAGGGACAGCAGCAUAACGAAGUCUUGGGCAAUGAACGAAAGUCGGCCCGAAAGACGCCGCGGGCGUAACUAGGGUUGUCGGUUCAUAAAACUCUGUCGUUGGAGAAGGGGUAUUUAACAAGAAAGCCACGCCUAACUACGUGCCAGCAGCCGGGGAAAUC